UGAUUUCUUGUCUUGUGAGACUGGUUUAAUC
rnacentral:piRNA from 1 species